CCUAGAGCCGCUUGCUGUGCCGGCCAGGGGGACGGCAGCGUUCCUGCUCACCUGAUUUAUUAUCUCUGCUCAGCACACAGGGAAGGGGAUUCUUCACGGGGAGGAAAGCUGGCAGCUCAGAGCAGUCCCCUGGAAGCAGCCAGCGCUUGGUGUGAGCGUUCAUUCAAAGGAGCAGGGAGAGAAAGGAAAAAGCUGUAGUAGGGAAAGAGGAAGGUUAAAAAAAGCAGACACCUCCGAGGCGCUUGUGAAGCGGGAACGCAGCAAGGCAGUCGGUAUUUCUGGUCUGAGGCUGGGACAGAGACCCACGGAGCUGAUGCGAGGGGAGUUUUGCAUAUUCCGAAAAGUAAACAGAAGAGUCAGCCUUGUUUUUUUGCAGAAUUACAGGAACCAGAGAUGGAAAAGACCUAUUAACUCAUCUUUCCGUUCCCCUCCAGGGUAGAACAGGAUUGCUCCCUGGAGGAGAUUAUUUUUAGCACUCUGUUGAGCACAGUUUUUGAUGUCUCAUGAGAUGGGGGUUUCUUUUCCAGGGAUUUAGAUGUAAGAAUGAUAAACCAGGUUCCGCCAAAGGAAGGCUUGACCCAGAGAUGAAACGAGGAUCAAAGCUUUGCUGUGAGGUUCAAAAAUGUUUGCCUGCAUGUUUUCCUCUCUCUGUAACGUGUUUCUGCAUCUCUCUACAGCAUGCUUUGCCUGGGAAGGAAGCAGAGGCAGCGAAGCCCCGGCUCUCCAGGGAUUUUUGCUCCUACAGAAAUGGAGAAACGCGACGAUUUCUCUGGCAGAAGCUUCACACGGGCAUCCUGGGGACGCUCGGUUGGGCCAUUGCGUUGGUGGGGAGAAAAAGAGGAAUGGCACAUCUGCUAGGUGACCGACACGUGUCCCCGGUGCCCUGUAGGCUCAGUAGGAGCAAAUGACGGAGGCGUCCCCUGGACCUUUUGUGCCUCGCGGCUCCGAGGAGGAGGAGGAAACUCGCCUGCGAGCAGCAGGUCUCCGGCUGGAACCCCCCCUCCGGCCGGGGAACCUGUGCUGGGGACUUUUAAUUUUACGUGGCUCUGCUUAAGCCCGAAAACAUUAGCUUAACAUUAUCACGGGGUAAGUCAACAAAUAUGGAAAAAUCUACCAAGGUUACAUUUUGCCCACUUUUCUUGCACCUUUGGAGAUGAAACUGGAGCCAGGCUGCUAAGUUACAGUGAUUUAUUGGUGGGCUGAGGAGCUGGGUUUUAAAUACUGCAUCUUUGGGAUGCUGGCAACCUCGCUUCCUAUAAAUCUUAACUAGUAUUUCUGAGCCCUUUUAUGCCAGCUGCUUUCAUGUAUUCAGAACCUUUUCCGUGCAGUAGCCUAUGAAAAUAUUGAAACGAUGCCCAGAGCAACACCAGGAUAUGAAGGGGAAAACUUUAAGAUGUUUUGUAACUAUUUUUUAACAGAACCUGCCAAAUCUUAAUUUUUCCAGUUUACAAGUAAGAG
rnacentral:lncRNA from 1 species